rnacentral:rRNA from 1 species
GACAGAGGGUGCAAACGUUGCUCGGAAUCACUGGGCGUAAAGGGCGUGUAGGCGGGAAGGAAAGCCAGAUGUGAAAUCCCUGGGCUCAACCCAGGAACUGCAUUUGAAACUCCCUUUCUUGAGUGUCGGAGAGGAAAGCGGAAUUCCUGGUGUAGAGGUGAAAUUCGUAGAUAUCAGGAGGAACACCGGUGGCGAAGGCGGCUUUCUGGACGACAACUGACGCUGAGACGCGAAAGCGUGGGGAGCAAACAGG